rnacentral:rRNA from 1 species
AGUGAACGCUGGCGGCAGGCCUAACACAUACAAGUCGAACGGCAGCACAGAGGAGCUUGCUCCUUGGGUGGCGAGUGGCGGACGGGUGAGGAAUACAUCGGAAUCUACCCUGUCGUGGGGGAUAACGUAGGGAAACUUACGCUAAUACCGCAUACGACCUACGGGUGAAAGCAGGGGACCUUCGGGCCUUGCGCGAUUGAAUGAGCCGGUGUCGGAUUAGCUAGUUGGCGGGGUAAAGGCCCACCAAGGCGAGGAUCCGUAGCUGGUCGGAGGGUAUAGUCCGGAAGCCUGGAACUGAGACACGGUCCCGAGUCCUACGGGAGGCAGGAGUAGGGAAUAGUGGACGAUGGGCGCAAGCCUGAUCCAGCCAUACCGCGUGGGUGAAGAAGGCCUUCGGGUUGUAAAGCCCUUUUGUUGGGAAAGAAAUCCAGCUGGCUAAUACCCGGUUGGGAUGACGGUACCCAAAGAAUAAGCACCGGCUAACUUCGUGCCAGCAGCCGCGGUAA